AACGAACGCUGGCGGCAGGCUUAACACAUGCAAGUCGAGCGCCCCGCAAGGGGGGCGGCAGACGGGUGGGUAACGCGUGGGAAUCUACCUUUUGCUACGGAAUAACUCAGGGAAACUUGUGCUAAUACCGUAUGUGUCCUUCGGGAGAAAGAUUUAUCGGCAAGAGAUGAGCCCGCGUUGGAUUAGCUAGUUGGUGAGGUAAUGGCUCACCAAGGCGACGAUCCAUAGCUGGUCUGAGAGGAUGAUCAGCCACAUUGGGACUGAGACACGGCCCAAACUCCUACGGGAGGCAGCAGUGGGGAAUAUUGGACAAUGGGCGCAAGCCUGAUCCAGCCAUGCCGCGUGAGUGAUGAAGGCCCUAGGGUUGUAAAGCUCUUUCACCGGUGAAGAUAAUGACGGUAACCGGAGAAGAAGCCCCGGCUAACUUCGUGCCAGCCGCCGCGGUAA
rnacentral:rRNA from 1 species